UACAGAGGGUGCGAGCGUUGUCCGGAAUCACUGGGCGUAAAGGGCGCGUAGGUGGUGGCUUAAGCGUGCGGUGAAAGCUCGGGGCUCAACCCCCGAGUCGGCCGUGCGAACUGGGCUCACUGGAGCAUAGUAGAGGCAGGUGGAAUUCCGGGUGUAGCGGUGGAAUGCGUAGAGAUCCGGAAGGAACAUCAGUGGCGAAAGCGGCUUCCUGGACCAGAACUGACCGAUCAGGCACGAAAGCGUGGGGAGCAAACAGGG
rnacentral:rRNA from 1 species